GAGGGCUCUAUGAGAGGAGGGAAGGGCAUCAAACAGCCUAAGUAUCUAAACUAAAUGGGGAAAUUCAAACUGAAUUCCCCCUUUGGCAUACCAUAGUGCACCCCUAGUCCAGAAG